rnacentral:rRNA from 1 species
GAUCCUGGCUCAGAUUGAACGCUGGCGGCAUGCUUUACACAUGCAAGUCGAACGGCAGCGCGGGCUUCGGCCUGGCGGCGAGUGGCGAACGGGUGAGUAAUGCAUCGGAACGUGCCCAGUAGUGGGGGAUAGCCCGGCGAAAGCCGGAUUAAUACCGCAUACGACCUGAGGGUGAAAGCGGGGGACCGAAAGGCCUCGCGCUAUUGGAGCGGCCGAUGUCGGAUUAGCUAGUUGGUGGGGUAAAGG